UAAUGGGCAUUUAGUCACACUUCCUGGCCUGCACUUUGUCAGGGUUCACAGGGUAAAUUAGGUCCAAAAUUGAUCUCAGAAUGGUGAUUCAUUUAAUAAAUAAAUUCAACAUUGAAGGCUGUCAUUGGAAUUUGAAAACGGAAUUCACUUAGCACCUAAAAUCACAGGGAUUGACACGAGAGGGGUUUAACAAUUGAUUAUCAUCUGAGUUAAACAAAUAAAAUAUAUUAAUUGCAUAGCAUUUUACAUUGAAUCUUUCUGGUAUCAGUUAUUCUUGCAGUAAGAUGCUCCUGUGUGUUGUGGCUUUAGCUCUGCCUGACCUUUAAUCUGUAUUUCAAGGGACACACUGCUGAUUGGGAAAGAGCACCCUCUGUCACGCUCAAGAGCCGGGGAUUUCACGGUCUGCUUCAGGUCAUUGAACUGACAUCUGUGUCCAGUGGGUGAUUUGUCUUCUUUUAAUUCACGUAAAACAGAGCAAGAGCACUGACUGUAGGCAGCCAGCAGGGGCCUGCCCACUUCCCACCCUGGGGAAUGUCCAGCUGACAGACAGACAGCCGCUGAGAAAAGGCACUGGGGUGUCUUUGAAGGGACUGUGCCACCAAAUACCUGAAGACCUGUCACAAUGAUAAGUAUGACCUUGUGUUGUCUCUCAGCUGCUGCUGUUGCUGCUUACAGUAAGAGUUGGGGGCUGGUAGAAGUGUGUGUGUGUGUCACACCCUGAUCUGUUUCACCUGUCUUGUGCUUGUCUCCACCCCCCACCAGGU